rnacentral:rRNA from 1 species
CCUACGGGGGGCAGCAGUGAGGAAUAUUGGUCAAUGGCCGGAAGGCUGAACCAGCCAAGCCGCGUGAAGGACGAAGGUGCCAAGCAUUGUAAACUUCUUUUGUCAAGGGACAAAAUCAGGCUCGAGAGCCUGACCGAGGGUACUUGAAGAAAAAGCAUCGGCUAACUCCGUGCCAGCAGCCGCGGUAAUACGGAGGAUGCGAGCGUUAUCCGGAUUUAUUGGGUUUAAAGGGUGCGUAGGCGGACUGGAAAGUCAGCGGUAAAAUCGAGAGGCUCAACCUCUUUCCGCCGUUGAAACUGUCGGUCUUGAGUGGGCGAGAAGUAUGCGGAAUGCGUGGUGUAGCGGUGAAAUGCAUAGAUAUCACGCAGAACUCCGAUUGCGAAGGCAGCGUGCCGUGCCGCCACUGACGCUGAGGCACGAAAGCGCGGGGAUCGAACAGGAUUAGAUACCCUUGUAGUC